rnacentral:tRNA from 1 species
UUUAAUAAGGUGUAUGGCACACUAUUUUUUGGUGAUAGAGGGGGCUAGUUGUCUAUUUUUC